UGCUGAGGCUGCCAAGGAGACGAGAACAAUUACAGGGCCGAGCUCCAGCCAGGAAGGGGGAGCCGCAUCGGGAGAGCCGCUGAGCUGCCCGGCCCUCGACCGUGGGCCCGGCUUCCUGGGAGGCAGUUGCAAAGUUUGUCUUCAGGAUGGCAACAGUGGCCGCAUCCUCGCUGACAGAACCCACCUUGUGCUGGGCUGGGCACGUUUCACUCCCAUCUCCUUUCAUCUCCAAACGCCCUUGGGGUCGGAAUGAUUAACUCCAUUGCGUUCACUGACCCAUCCACCCAUUCUUUCAACAGAUAUUUAUUGAGUGCCUACUACGUGUCAGCACCGUGCUGGAUCCUAGAGAUGCAGCAAGGAAAAAAACCAGGAAAAAACCUUUGCUCUCACGGAGCUUACACCCAGGAAGGGGGAGACGAACAACAAAAAGGAACGAACAAGCGAACAUGUUAAGCACCAAGCCACCAGCGGGUAGCAAGAUGACCAAAUAUGUCGCAUGAAAAUAUUAGAAACACCACCAACCCAACUUAAAUAUGGGAAACUGAGGCCCGGGGUCCCAAAGCCAGAUAACGGCAGAGCUGGACUAGAAGAAGCCAGAUCUCCUGUUUUCCAAGCCAGAAUUCUUCUGCCGCAAGUGACCGCUGCUGAGAGUCAAGUUCAAACACCGAACUUUAAAUAUGAUCUUCUCAAAGGACACAGAGAGCCUCAGCCACAUGGCCCUUCUGGAUUCUGUUGCUGCCGCUCUUCGCCUCAAGGGUCUACUCCCUGAAAGAAGCCAGAGCCUUCCUCUCCCAGCUCCUCCCAUCCUAAAACCCAACCACCAAGCCGAUGAAGCCAACCCUCUUCUACCCUCUAGUCCUUCGGCCCCAGUCUUGGUGGCGACCUGUUAUCUCCAGGUCUUAUCUCCUUGGCUCCACCCCUACUCUCCACCCCAUGGGGCUGCCUCUGCCCCCUCCACCCUCCACCCAGAGCUUCUGCUCAGGUCACCAGCAACUUCGGUCCCUAAAUCCAACGCGCGCUGUGUGGCACUCCACCUGCCUGACCUUCCUGCACCAGUUCCCCUGUUGACCACUCCCUGCAGGGAGCCAUCUGUCACUCCUGUCCCCCCACCCCACCACUGCUCUGCCAGCAACUUCUCAAUGCCCUUUGUCAGUUCCUCCCCCACCCAAGCGUUGCUGUUCUGUCUUGAGCCCACUCUUCUUCCCAAGCUCUCUCCCUUGGCAUUCCCAUGGAUUGAAUAGCCAAUGAGUCCUAGGGCCACAUCCCAGCCCAGACCUGUCUCCUGGGCUCUGGGCCUGGGCACCCAACUGCCUCCACUGGGUGUCUCUACAGCAACUCAAACCAAGCAUGUCUGGAACCAUCUCAUGAUUCUAUCUCUCAGACCCGCUUUCCCUCCCAAGCCCCUAUGUCCAUAAACAGCACGAUCACCCACCCUGCGUUCAAGCCAAAAACCUGGGAGUCGCUGACCCCUUCCUCUCGCUCUCGCUGCACCCAGUCGCUAAGUCCUGCCGAGUUCACCUUCCAAAUGCCUGUGCACUCCAUCCAGACCUCCUGAUUCAGAUGAUGCCACCUAAACCUGGGACACCCCACCUGUGCCCCAAUGAGGGGGUCCUAACUGAUCUCCCUAAGCCACACUUACCCCACAUUCCACUCUCCUUACAGCAGCCAGAGGGAUCUUUCUAAAACAUACAUCUUUUUAUGUCAUUGGCCACCAUCUUCCAACUGCUCCCCAGUGAAACCCCCAAAUGGGUGGCACCUUGUGCCAUCCGCCCCCAGCUCUCUGAGCACCAGCCUCCCUGGCCCUUUCACUUUCCUUCAACUCACCAUGCUUCUCCCUGCCUCCAAGGCUUCGUUCUCUCUGCUUUCUCUGCCCAGAAUGCAUUUCCUUCUCCCCCUGACCCAUCCCCAAGAGAUCAGGCCAAGGGCUGCUUCUCACAUUUCCCACCAGCCCACAUUUCCGCACAGGGCCCCUAGGGUUCAUCGGCCCCCAGCUUGUUUGCACUCACCCAUGGGUGCCUGUGGUUGCUUGAUUCAUGUCUGUCUUGACUCCUGGACUGAAAAUUCCAUGAAGACCAGGGGCCAUGUCUGUCUUGCUCAGCCUACAGCCACACUGUGCCUGGCACAUAGCAACCCAGAGCUCCACCUUCCCGGGACAUCCCCUGUCUACACAGCCAGCAUUCACUGCCCCAGGAAUAAACUCAAGUCUGGAA